CGCACCUCAGUGUCAGUAUCAGUCCAGGUGGUCGCCUUCGCCACUGGUGUUCCUUCCUAUAUCUACGCAUUUCACCGCUACACAGGAAAUUCCACCACCCUCUACCAUACUCUAGCUUGUCAGUUUUGAAUGCAGUUCCCAGGUUGAGCCCGGGGCUUUCACAUCCAACUUAACAAACCACCUACGCGCGCUUUACGCCCAGUAAUUCCGAUUAACGCUUGCACCCUCUGUAUUACCGCGGCUGCUGGCACAGAGUUAGCCGGUGCUUAUUCUGUCGGUAACGUCAAAAUUGCAGAGUAUUAAUCUACAACCCUUCCUCCCAACUUAAAGUGCUUUACAAUCCGAAGACCUUCUUCACACACGCGGCAUGGCUGGAUCAGGCUUUCGCCCAUUGUCCAAUAUUCCCCACUGCUGCCUCCCGUAGGAGUCUGGACCGUGUCUCAGUUCCAGUGUGACUGAUCAUCCUCUCAGACCAGUUACGGAUCGUCGCCUUGGUGAGCCAUUACCUCACCAACUAGCUAAUCCGACCUAGGCUCAUCUGAUAGCGCAAGGCCCGAAGGUCCCCUGCUUUCUCCCGUAGGACGUAUGCGGUAUUAGCGUUCCUUUCGAAACGUUGUCCCCCACUACCAGGCAGAUUCCUAGGCAUUACUCACCCGUCCGCCGCUGAAUUCAGGAGCAAGCUCCUGUCAUCCGCUCGACUUGCAUGUGUUAGGCCUGCCGCCAGCGUUCAAU
rnacentral:rRNA from 1 species